AGGGUCUUGGCGGUCUGGUCGGUGUACGAUUCUCUUACUGGCCUGCUAAGUCCCAAG
rnacentral:precursor_RNA from 1 species